rnacentral:rRNA from 2 species
UGCUNCUUNUUUGUAGCAAUACAAGGCAGACGGCUCAUUNCCGCGUAGUCAACCUAACCUAUGGACGGGAAUAACCUCGGGAAACUGAGAAUAAUGCCCGAUAGAACAUUAUGCCUGGAAUGGUUUAUGUUCCAAAUGAUUUAUCGCCGUAGGAUGGGACUGCGGCCUAUCAGUUUGUUGGUGAGGUAAUGGCCCACCAAGACUAUUACAGGUACGGGCUCUGAGAGGAGUAGCCCGGAGAUGGGUACUGAGACACGGACCCAGGCCCUAUGGGGCGCAGCAGGCGAGAAAACUUUGCAAUGUGCGAAAGCACGACAAGGUUAAUCCGAGUGGUUUCUGCUAAAGGAACCUUUUGUUAGUCCUAGAAACACUAACGAAUAAGGGGUGGGCAAGUUCUGGUGUCAGCCGCCGCGGUAAAACCAGCACCUCAAGUGGUCAGGAUGAUUAUUGGGCCUAAAGCAUCCGUAGCCGGCUCUGUAAGUUUUCGGUUAAAUCUGUACGCUCANCGUACAGGCUGCCGGGAAUACUGC